GUCGGAAAAAAAGAUGGACGCCUCCAGGAAAGUAAUUGUUGCACUAGCUCUUUUGGAGUACAGAGAGCUACAAAAUAAGUAUGCCCUUCACCUAAGAGACCUCGAGGAAGUUGACAGAAAGCGUAGAAGGUCCACUGGUGAAGCUACAUCACUGUUCCCCUCAUCGAAGAGGACAGCAGCCCAAGCUCCUCAACAGCCCGGAAGACAGUCUUUAUUAUAACCAUCUCAACGCAAAUCAAGCUGCUGGAUGACGAGGAUGAAUAUUAUCAAUUACAGUCAGCAAUAGAGUCCGUCCCUGAGAAGGAAGUAUUAUCAGGCACCUCCCCAAGCUCUCCAUAUGCCCUGCCCCCUGUCCCUCCCACCAUCUCAUCCAGAUGAGCUGUGCUCCGCCCACAUCUCUGACUUCUGGUGACAGCUGGUGAGAGCUGCACAGACAGCAGACUCUGCAUCUGCACAAUUAAAGGGAUAGUUCACCCAAAAAUUAAAAUUCUCUCAUCAUUUACUCACCCUCAUGCCAUCCCAGAUGUGUAUGACUUUAUUUCUUCUGCAGAACACAACCAAAGAUUUUUAGAAGAAUACCGCAGCUCUGUAGGUCCUUGCAAUGCAGAAGUUCCAAAAAGGACAUAACAUCAGCAUAAAAGUAAUCCAUACAACUCCAGUGGUUAAAUCCAUGUCUUCUGAAAUGAUAUGAUAGGUGUGGGUGGUGAGAAAGAUAAAUAUUUAAGUCCUAUUUUACUAUCAAUCUCCAGCUUUGACCAGCCCCAACCAGUAGGUGGCUGAAUGUGAAAGUGAAAGUUACUUCCACAGCAGAAUGUGACAGUAAAAAAAGGAUCUGAGAUGGCUUGAGGGUGAGAAAAUGAUGAGAGAAUUUUCAUUUUUGGGUGAAUUUUCCCUUUAAACAGACGCUACUGACCAACCAGAAAGAUCAGCCGCAGUGGAACAGUGAAACCAACUGUUAUGUAAAAAGAACAUUAGACCUUCACAUACAUCAAGACUGAUAUUUCCACAGACAUA